UUGUAAAACCCUAAUUCUCUGAUUCUUCUAAUAUAUCUCAAAAAUGUUUCGUUGUCUAUGCAAUUCAUUGUUUCAGGGUAAGAUUAUUAAUGGUGGAAAUUCAAAACCAUUAUAUCUAUGCUCAUACCUAUUUAGAUCCAUUUCUUCUUCUUCCUCCAUAGAUCGCAACGAUUCUACUGUAUCUUUGUCAUUUGUAGUUUGUUACUGGAUGAAUUCAUGUGGGUUAACUGAAAAACAAGCUCUCUCAGCUUCUAACAAACUUAAUUUCAAAACCACAUCAAAUCCAGAUUCUGUUCUUGCCUUCUUUCAAGAUUACGGGUUCACUGAAUCAGACAUCUCCGGAAUCAUCAUGAGGAGGCCUGAAUUCCUUUCGUAUAAUACUCAGAAAAUCUUUAAACCUAAACUUGAUUAUUUUACUUCUCCUAACUAGAAAUCUAGAAAACCAUAUCAUUCCUUUUUGCAAUUGCAUUGUUGGUACUGACCAGCACACAUUUGUUGUUUUCCGGCGCGCAAGGUUUUAUCCUGUAACUGAGGAACUGAUGCAUAACAUUCAGGUUUUGAGAGAUGAAGGUGUCCCUCAAUCAAAUAUUGUAAGCUUAAUCUACCAAAGGAUGACACUAAUGAUAACAACAGCUGGAUUUAAGGACAUCGUACAAGAGAUAAAGGGUAUGGGAUUUGAUCCUCUCGAAACUGCAUUUCUUACUGCUAUUGGGGUAUUUAAAGCAAUGGCUAAAUCAACCUGGGAAGCCAAAUUGAAUGCUUACAGGAAAUGGGGUUUGUCUGAAGAACAAAUUCAGCAUGCAUUUAUGUUGAGUCCUUUUUGUAUGAUGUAUUCCACGAAGAAGAUAAGCCUCACCAUGGAUUACUUUGUGAAUCAAAUGGGUUAUAAUGAUACCCAAUAUGCUUCGGUUAUAGCUUGGAGAAGAGGAUUAUACCCAGGUGUUCUGUUUACCAGAUAUUAGUCUCUAAGGGUCUAAUUAAGGAUCAAAUUUCCAUAUGUUCACUUUUGCAAAUUAAUGAGGAGUCUUUCUUGGAGAAAUUUGUGAUCAAGUAUGAGAAAGAAGCUCCUGAGCUGUUGGAGAUUUAUAAUCUGGCACCAACUAGGCGUGUUUUGGAAGCCUUGCAAAGUGAUGAGUUGACCCUUGCUGCCAAGCAAGUCGUAAAAACCUAGCUACCUGGCUCGCUGAAGUGUGUGUAGGUGCAGCUCGAAAUACGUAUAUACAUCAGACAUUCUCUCCCUUGGUUGGGGAGAAUUGACGAAGAGGACAUCAGGUGUGUUUUGGAAGCCUCGCAAAGUGAUGAAUUGACCCUUGCUGCUAAGCAAGUCGUAAAAACCUAGCUACCUGACUCGCUGAAGUGCAUGUAGGUGCAGCUCAAAAUACGUAUAUACAUCAGACGUUCUCUCCCUUGGUUGGGGAGAAUUGACGAAGAGGACAUCAGAUAAUGAGACGUAGGACCUGCCACCAGUAUCACAUUCCUUUACUUUGGAGUUUGUACUGCCAUAUCCCCCAAGGAAGUGAACUUUAGAAUCUGAUAACCAGGUCUUUUCGACUUUCGCCAUCAGUCAUGGACUGGGAGAAGUAACAAGAUGCAGGAGAAGGCCUGUAGUUCAAGUGUGUUGUACAAAGAAUUACUAUUAAGUAUUUUGGUAUAAACUUUUCUUUGUUUAUCAAGGAUGGAAGGUUGUUGGCCCAACCUUGUCAGAUGUCCCCUAAGAGACGAAACUUCUUGUAACUCAGUGUAGAACAAUAUUGAUAACCAAGAAACAUGGAAUUGAAAUUCCUUCACUUCAAAAUUAAAAAGUUACCAUGAUUCGCGGCUA